GAUUACAUAACCUGUUAUAUCAGUCCGACAGCAGCAUAACACGUCCUCCAUCCUCAGCAAUCUACCAGCUUUUCAGUCUCGGUCAGCAAGUCUGGAGCUUUUCAAAACGGCUAUUACAUAACAAGGAGCGACGUAAGAUAUACAGUAUGAAAACAGUGGUGCAUCUCUGAAAUUAACAUGUAGUCACACGAAGCUUGCAUUAAAGGAGGUCUAGCCAUGUGUCUUAUGGAAUCAAAGGAAGGCUUACCAGAAGUUGGUGCCAUGGGGAAACCGCAAGUGAUAUACAUGCAGUUUUUCGCAUAGAUCUCUCAGCCAUGGAGGCUAUUUUGUGGUUUACCGCAAGUAAUAAACUGCUUUCAAGUGAUGUAUAUGGCGAUUACAUAAUCAAAGGGUUCUCUCAGAGAACGGAAAACAAGCACAGCAUCUGUGACAGAGAACGUCACGCCUGGGAACUUUGAAGGGCAUAGAGACCUUCUAUAUUUGGAUGUUCGAGCCCGGGAUGAGAUUAACAUGACCUGAGAGAAGCGGUUAACAUUCUGCUUCCACCAGAGGAAAAGCCAGGAUGAAUCUCAAGACAACACAGACGAGAUGAAAACAGCUAAGCUGUACUCCAAAUCGAAUAGAAUCUACUGUAUGGGUGAAUUUCAUAUUCACAGCAGUACAUCCAAAAAACUUUUAACAAAUCAUUUUUACCUACAUGAUCGGAGAGAUUCGGGAAAAUACUCAAGUGUUUGGAGUUUCAUAUUCACAGACCUUCCGGCUAGAAUCACACAACUAUGACCCCCAGUUGGGAGCGAAUGAAAGUUUUCAUAGCUCAGCAAAUCAGGCCGGCCACUGGGAUGGACAUACAAGAGGUCAAAGUGACCAUGACGUUAUUCGUUAUGGAUUGAUUCUUACGUGUGUAUGGUACGUCUCUGAUGUCACCUGACCUACUCGCGUCUUCUAGAACGUCAUAUUCUGACGUGUGAUAUCAAUGGGAAAAGAUCGCUAGACAAAAUGCCUGAGCAUUUCCAUCUGAAAUAAGGCUGUAAAAAUGGCAUUUGGUGAUCUCCACCAGUGUUUUAAGACGCACUGGCAAAAUUUGUCGCAGAAAGGCUACAUGGUGAAAAUAACGGCCAUAUAUUCCAUUCAGUCUGGCGAAACCCAUACCGUCUACAGCCAAUAAUGGUUCUGUGUUUUGCAGGAUAUUCAAUAGGGAUAUUGUGGUCUACUGGAUGUUCAAUGAUAAUACUGUGAUCUUUCGAAUAUUCCAUACUGAUACUGUGUUCUGAUGGAUAUAGUGCAUAAUGAUACGGUGUUUUGGUGAAUGUUCCAUAGUGAUAAAGAGUUCUACUGGAUAUUCCAUAAUGAUACUGUGUAAUGGAUGAUAUUGCAUAAUGAUACUGUGUUCUGGGGGAUAUUCCAUAAUGAUAAAGCGUUCUACUGGAUAUUCCAUAAUGAUAUUGUGUUCUGGUGUAUAUUCCAUAAUGAUACUGUGUUCUGGUGGAUAUUGCAUAAUGAUACUGUUUUCUGGUGGAUAUUCGUUAUGUGAACAUCUAGGAUUCGUCAUGACUUCUUUAAGUCUCACAGACCACAGAUAGGUAAGCACACUCUCGCAUAUAUAUAUGCUUUUCAGCUCAGAAUGACCUUUGCUGUGUCCACGCUAGCUUUCCGAUAUAAUACUAGGAAAAUUCCACAACCGUAAACAUAUGAUUUGUCAACAGUGAAAGUAGGCUAUGUAUAUAUAUUUAUACAGAUUCAAAAAUAAUAAAACUUUAUCUUUACACGCACCGAAUUCUUUCCUGAAAAUUGAUUUUAAUACCAUCAGACAUGUUUACCACAAUUACUUUUUGAAGGGAAUCUUCUGAGAUACGCCUACAAGAGCAGCCUAAAGCUCCAAGUAACCAGUCUGUAGGCGCCACCCAGAAGUGCCCGUAUGUAGGACCUAGAGCCGUUAGGUGUAGGCUGACUUCUUAUCACGUCUCACCCAGGGACAAUUUCAGCACGAGAACCCUGGGUACAUUCAGGCGCAAAUAAGCCGGUUUUGAUACCGAUGGAUUAGCGAAGUUAUCAGAAAACGGAGUGACUUUGAUCACCAAGCGUUUUGAGGUGGUGAAUAAUCGUAAUGGCAUGUUAGACAACUUUAGGAAAAAUUCGACAACUUUGAAGACACAGUCUUUAUGUUAGUUGAUAGCAAAUACUAAUAAUGACACUUAGCAUUUUUUGUCAAACUAACCCAUUUGUCAAUGCCGGUUUUCUUUCCUAGAAGAAGAAUAAAACUGAAAGAUAUUAUA